GUGCUUGGUUCGGCAACAUAUAUAACUAAAACUGGAAUGAUACAGAGAUUAGCAUGGCCCCUGCACAAGGAUGGCACAUAAAUUCAUGAAGCAUUUAAAAUACAU